GACGAACGCUGGCGGCGUGCUUAACACAUGCAAGUCGAACGGAAAGGCCCUGCUCUUGUGGCGUGCUCGAGUGGCGAACGGGUGAGUAACACGCGAGUAACCUGCCCUUGACUUUGGGAUAACUUCAGGAAACUGGGGAUAAUACCGGAUAGGAGCUCCUGAUGCAUGGUGGGGGUUGGAAAGAUUCGGCGGUUUGGGAUGGACUCGAGGCUUAUCAGCUUGUUGGUGGAGUAGUGGAUUACCAAGGCUUAGACGGAUAGGCGGCCUGGGAGCGUGACCGGCGACAAUGGUACUGAGAGACGCCGCAGUCUGCAACGUGCGGCAGCGGUGGGGAAUAUUGCGCAACGGCCCGGAGCCUGUUGCGGCAACGCUGGGUUCGUGAUGCCGGCUUACGGGUUGUAAACCGCUUUGGCCUGAAACAUAGCGUGAGUGACGGUAAUGGGUAAAGAAGCACCGGCUAACUACGUG
rnacentral:rRNA from 1 species